rnacentral:lncRNA from 1 species
AAUUGCCGUCUACUGGGGUCAACACGGCGAUGAAGGAAGCUUGGCCGACACAUGCGCCAGUGGAAACUACCAGUUUGUGAACCUGGCAUUUCUGACGACCUUCGGCGGUGGAAAAACACCAGUGUUGAACUUAGCCGGCCACUGCGACCCCCCCUCGGGCACUUGCGCCUCCUUGAGUGCUGAAAUUAAAGGUUGCCAGAACCGAAACAUCAAAGUGCUGCUUUCCCUCGGAGGUCAGAUUGGAAACU